UUCACAAUCAAACCUCAGGUACUGUCUGUGGUGAGGUGAUAUAUCCACCCUGUGACUGGUUAUGUCUCCUCCAAGUUCUCUGUUUUUCUCCCACAUCACAAAGACUUCCAAAUUGUUUGCUCCAACCUAAAGAUGAGCCUUCAAAUGAGAAUAAAAGAUCUGGAAGGAUCUUGCAGCUUUAGUUUUCGGUCUUGUUUGUCUGGUGGAUUUGGAGCUCCUUUCCAGGGAACGCGCUAAGAUAGUAGCACGAUAUUAAUACGCAGCAGCCUCUCCGGACUCUGGAUUGGGGAUUGCCAAAUGUUAUGUGGAUUUUCUAGUGUAGUCUGUUUUGUCAUAUGCUUUUGUGAUAUCAU